AAAAUGACUCUCGGCAACGGAUAUCUCGGCUCUCGCAUCGAUGAAGAACGUAGCGAAAUGCGAUACUUGGUGUGAAUUGCAGAAUCCCGUGAACCAUCGAGUCUUUGAACGCAAGUUGCGCCCCAAGCCUUUGGGCCGAGGGCACGUCUGCCUGGGUGUCACGCAUCGUAGCCCC
rnacentral:rRNA from 1 species